UUCCAUUUAAUUUUCCAUCCAUAUUUUCUUCUCCCAACACCAUCGCCAUUUACCAUAACCAUAUUCAACCUCCGUUCAAGUUGCCUUGCUCUAGGAGACUCCCCUCUUUCCCUUCUUUCAGGUUCUCCAAUUUGAUUUCUCAGAAAACUCUUUGAAAACCCCAAAAAGUCCAUCCUUGAGCCUCGACCUUCCUUUUCUCCGAUAUUCUUCUCCAUCUAUUAGAUGGCCUCUAUUUUCAAGUAUUCAUUUUCUCUCUCCGACCUCUUUCUCCUCGUCGUCCAGAGUGUCAAACAAAAACCUGGAGACCCUCCAACAGUUAAGCGUCCGCCAUUUGUCGAGUUUAAGACUUCUCUUCUUUUCUAGCUGCUGAUUUUAUUGUCUUGUUCUAUUUGGUUUAUUGUAUUGUUGGGGUUUUGGAAACCCGGCGGGGGGGGGGGGGUUGGUCUGGUGGUUCAACAAUGGGAAAGUGGGUUCCAUUGGGAUACUUUAGAUGGUGGUUAAAGUGGUGGUAUGCUCUGGUUUGGGCACCUGGUUGUUUAGAUGUGGCAGGUAAGGGGUUAUGGCUCGAGUUUUGUUGAGGGAUGUUAGUCAAGAUGGGUUAAGGUUCGGGUUUGUACGGAUGGCUGAGAUGGUGGAGCUUGUGGGAAUUUGUUUAGGGGCGGUGAGCUUGUCGGAGUUUGGAGAUUGUGAUAAGUUUUAAAGAAGGAACUUGAAAAAUGAUGGUGGUGGUGGUAAGGUGUGAGAAAGAAGACGACGGUGGUGGUGGUGAACUUGAAUGGGUUUUGAAGAUAUUAAGGAACUUGGAAAAUGACGAUGGUGGAGUUGUGUGAAUGGUGCUAGGUUAGGUGCAAAGUCAGGGCUUGAGCGGUGAAGCAAGAAGGCUUGAAUAGAGUUUGACGGUGAUGAUGGUGAAGGGAAAGAAAAAUGUAAAGGUUGAUUAACUAAAAGUUUUUUUAUUUUUAAUUAAUAAAAAAUAAAAAAUUGAAAAAUAAUUUAAAUUAAAUGAUUUUUUUAAUAUACAUGGCACAACAUGAUUCUUUUUUUUAACACGUCACAUAAUUUGAUUGGUUGAUAUUAAAAGCUUAACGUUUUUGUAAAUAUCUAAAAGAAGUAUUGAGUAGACUUUCAUCUUUUUAUACAUAGUUUAGAAUUAUCAAUAACUAUUAUUGAAUCCUUAAAUAAGAAAAUAAUUAAAUAAUUUGAGAAAGAAUUUACACAUUAUAUUUAGGCAUGGUGAGAUUUAAACCUCACAUCAAGAUUUCAGAAAAGUAUUGGCAAAAUCUUAUACCAUAUUUGAUUUAUUGUAAUGGAAUAGAACUACAAUGGAAUAAAAUUAUAAUAGAAUAGAAUUGUAAUAACAAUUUAAUUGUUUGGUUGAAUAGAAUGAAAUAGAACUCUAAUAGUAUUCUUGUAUUUGGUUGAAUAGAAUUGAAUUGUAAUAGCAUAAGAAAAGAAGCUAAAAUAAUCAGAAUACCCCUUAGUAGAAUUUUUUUAAAAAAAAGAUUAUUGUUAUUAAAUUUUAAUAUGAUUAUUAAUAAAUAUAAUUUAAUAAAAGCAAUAAUAUAUAAUUUAACCUAUUUUAAUAAAUUUAUUAUUAAAUAUAAUUUAACAAUAAUAUAUAAUUUAAUAAUAUUCUUAAUAUAACAAUUAUUAAAAUAUGAAUCAAUAAAAAUAAUAUUAUAUAAUAUUACAAAAAAAUAAUAUAUAACUUACUUUAUUAAUUUUAAAAUAUAAUGCAUAUUUAAUGUGCUAGAAUAUCAUUAGGGAAACAAAUAAUUUAGCAUAUAUGCUUGUCUCAAAUAUUUUUAGUCAUAAACAGAUGUUGAAAUACAACAAAAGAACUAAUCAAAUUGUUAUGCUGUAUAUAUAUAUUUUGACAUAUUUUCAUUAAUUUAUUUAUGCUGCUAGACGUGUAUAAUAUAAGAAUCUCAUGUAAAAGUAAAAAUGAAUAAUAUAGAUUUAAUGUAUGUAAUCACAAACUCUCAUGCAACUUCAUUUUUACAUGUGCCAAACUUCACAAAGAAUACUGAUUGAAAGUAUCUAUUCACAAAGAAUAGCAUUAAAGUUCCUUUAAAAUACUGAUUGAGAGUAUUCUAUAGAAUCAAAUAUGUUAAUACAAGGCUAUUUUAAUAUAAUAUAUAUUAAUGGAAAAUUAUUGAACCUAUAAAGCUUCUCUCCAUCAAUGAAUGUAUUUUAGAAGCUGGAAAACACAAAGCAAGAAUACCAAUAGACUAAAUAUACUUGAAUAACAUGCAACCAUUGGCUCCUCUUAUUGAAAAUUUGUAAAGCUUUUGCAACUACAAUCAAUGAAACUCAAUUUCCCAAGCUACCCGUUUGUCCAAUGCUCCAUAAACCGUCUCUUUUUUAUUGGGAACUUGAGAAACCUACUUUUACAUAUAGAAUUAGUGUAUAUCUUUAUCUUUAAAUACUAAAUACAUACUAUAACUAAAACCUAUACCCAAUAUAGAGAAUGCUCUAUAAAGCUUCUUGUAAUAUGAAAUUUUGCAUAGUAGAGAAUACUCUACAGUGAAGGCCUGGAAAAAGAAAGAUAAAGAUAUUAACUUCAGAUGGCAUGGUAAUAUGCAACAUGCAAAGUUAAUUUCAUCUGAUAACCAAAAGAGGCAAAAUUAUUAAUACAUUAUGUAAGUUGUACUAUAUGUGCAGUCAAAGAUUUCCUUUCUCAUCUCUCUAAAAAGAAGGGGCUGGGUUAUACAUUACGUACAACUAUUUGAUCCUAACCAUAUUUAAUGUUUGUGUCACAGAGGAUAUCAGAAUUGCAUACAAUUAGUACUAGGAGAAAAAAAAAUAGAAAAUGGGUGAGGGUUUCAAGCUGAGAAGCAUGCAAGUAAUAUCGGACUCAUUUCUUUUUUUCCAAAAAAAAGAGAAGGAUAGUUCUUUAUUGUCACUGAUAUGAGCAAUCAUAAAGGUUUCUGGAAGGUUAAUUGUAUCAUAAUCAUAGCAAGACUUUAUUCCAAGUUUGGACGAACAUAAUAGACAUCUUGUGUGUUGGCUUGAUUUUAGCAAAUUGCAAAAGUUUGUGAUUAAGAUGGUGAAAAAUUCAACCUGAAUCAUAUUUGAGAGUGCAUGUAUUUUUGUUUGUAAUGUGCUACACAUUACGCCCUCUAAGCCAGGAUCUAAGUUAUCAAUGAGAGAAGCAUUGAAUGUUUUAAUUUAAGUAAAAAACACAACAUUGAACCAAAAAUAAAAAUAAACAGAGAAAAAACAACAGCACAACAAGUUUGCAAGUUAGAUAAUAUGCAUUUACAGAUGGAAGGGAAAAAGAAAAACCUUUGGCACAAGAGGAGUGUUUUGUCCUUAUGGAUUUCAGCAACAACACCUUUAAUCUCCAUUCCUGUGAUACCCGUGAAUGGUUAGCCCCAAAAACUCCCUUUAACACUAACAAAACGAAACAUAACCUACAAUGAUAUCUAUACACAUUUUUCAUUACAAACAUGAAAUUCUAUUGAACUUCAAACCCAAAACAAACAAUAAAAAAUCAAAAUAAAAAAAUUUAAACUUACCAAUAAAAAACCCCAAAUCAAGAGAAGAAUCCAAAGGGUAUUCAACAGAUUUAUGUAAAUAAAGCAUACCUAGAUAGGCAAUUCAACAGAUUAUUGACUAAAGAUCAUGACUUUGGGUAUUCAAUUCAACAAAGCCAAAACAUAAACUAUUGGAAAAGGAAAGAUCUUGAUCAUCAAAGUUCAACUUUUAGUUUGCAGCAUAGGAAAGUAGAAAUAAAUUUUAAGGCGGAUAAACAAAAUAGGGUUUUGAUUUACAUGAAAAACAAGAUCAAAGUAGAGGUGGAAAAGGUAAACUCAUUAAAAGCCUGGCAGGAUAGAAAUUCAGAUCCAAUAUUUCAGAGAUUUUUUUUAUAAAAAAAAACCCAAAGAUGAUGAUGAAGGGAAGAAGACUAACAACAAUUGUUCAUAAUUGAUCGAAUCCUCGCCGUUCCUACAAUCGCUGGGAUGCACUAUGGGAGACGUGAGCAUUGCUUUGGAAAACUUCGCCUUCGACAUCAAUUUCUCCAAAUUUUCCACCACACGCAAAUCCGCCACACCCAAAAUCCAAAAACAAAGAGUCUUCUAUGCAUUUUAUGCAAAACCUAAGAAGAUCUCUUGCUAUUGUUACCAGGAUGAUGAGUGGAGGUGGUAGGAGAUUUUCAUCUGAAAUAAAAAUAAAAGCUAUUACUAGAGGCAUUGAAUAAGCAUUCAGAGCCCGACCCUCUAAAUGGAUAUGUAGUGUUUAUGCGUAAUAGAGAUUCGACGGUCAAAUUUCAACCAAACAAAUGUGUCCCUGUAGCGCGUGGGAUAGGGUCGGAAUGGAAUGGUCAUUCUGUCGAACCAAACAUGCCCUUGGGUUUUAAGCACACGUUGAAACUUUUUUUUUUUUGAAAAAACUUGAGGAAGAGAAAUAAUAUGGAUAUGAAUUAAUUAAAAUAUAGCUUAUUUUUAUUUAAUAUUAAAAAUUUAAGAUAAUUGAUGAUAUAUAGAAAAAAAUUAAAGUAAAAACGUAUAAAACUAUGCUAAAAGAAAAGAAAUUGAAAUAUUAUUAUUUAAAAUAAUUUUAUACAAUAGUAUUUAUUUAAAAUUUUCUUAUACAAUAUGCGAAUAAAUAUUUAACAAGUUCAGAAAUUAUAACUAUGAUUUGAAUCCAUGUUAUUAUAUUUUUAGGUGAAAAUAUAAAAGAAUUAUAUUAAAUUUGGAUAUAUAUAUUGUAAACAGGUCAAUUUGCCCAGCCCGUUAGAAACCCAAAAUAAAAUAUAAAAUAAAUAAAUAAUAAAAACCCACAUAAUUAACAGUCCAUUAAAUGUCCUUUUACAAAUUAAUACCCAAUCCCAAAUUGACCCAAGUUUUAUAACAGUCCAAUUACAUGAUUAAAGGCCCGACCCCAUCAGCCCAAAACUAAUACUAAACCUAGUCCAAAAUUGUAUCAACCCAAGUGGCCCAAAAUUUGAAACAGGCAGAAACCCUAAGGUCCACCUUGCUCUUCAGCCAAGCCCCGGCCUCCAUGCCUCCGUACGCCCCAACGUUUCAGCAGCCACGCCACGCCCCCGUACACACUCCAACGCAUACUCCGUACCUACAAAAGGACGAACACAACAGCAACAGAGCAAUAGCCAAUAGAAAGAAUGAAAAUUUUUGUAUUUUUCUUUUGAACAUUCGGCUAUAAAGCCAUGUAAUAGCCAUUGUAAGUUUUUUACACGGAUACUACACGAUAUACGCAGAUCGAAAACAAAAAAACCAAUCAAGAAAUCAAAAGGUGAUUUUCAUAUUCGGUUCAUUUUUCUUCGAUUGCUCUCCUCUUUUAUUUUGGUUCUUUCUUUGGUUUUACACAUCGUGUAUUUUGGGCAUAAAAAAGGAAAAGAGAGGAAGGGAUUUACCUAGUCGACGAAGCCCGUCUUCUUCGUCGCAAUCGAAGUAAGGACAGGGUUUCGAAACCAAAACAGAUGACCCUCGAUGAUUCUCCAUGGCACCCCUGCGCAUUGCGAACCGCAGUCCAAAUCGAAGUAAAAGCCUACGAAUGAAAAAGGGGGUGGGGGCUGGUUAGAUCGGCCGACUGGAGAGGAGAAAGUUAAAAAGUUUUCCCCUUUUU
rnacentral:lncRNA from 1 species